rfam:Candidatus Liptonbacteria bacterium RIFCSPHIGHO2_12_FTLL_60_13 rifcsphigho2_12_scaffold_2578, whole genome shotgun sequence.
GGGAUGGUCGGAAUAAGGGCGUAUGGAGGAUGCCUAGACACCAAAGAGCGAUGAAGGACGUAGCGUAGCUGCGAUAAGCUCCGGGGAGGUGCGUAGCAACCGGCGAUCCGGAGAUGUCCGAAUGGGGGAACCCUCCCGAGUAAACCUCGGGAAUCCCGACGCAAGUCGGGGAGCACACCCGCUGAAGUGAAACAUCUCAGUAAGCGGUGGAACAGAGAAAAACAUUUUAUUCCCCAAGUAGCGGCGAGCGAAAAGGGAAGAGCCCAAACCCGUUCUUAUGUUCGCAAGAAUAAAGGGACGGGGGUUGUAAGAAAAUACAUCUUUUCGUUUCGCAGAGUUCCGGAACUUCCGGGAUUCCGCGAUACGAAAAGGAGAAGUUACAAAAUCGUUUGUUAGCCGAGGCCUCUGGAAAGAGGCGCCACAGAGGGUGAUAGCCCCGUAGGCGAAAAUAAAUGAUCUUCUUGUAUUUUUCUUGAGUACCUCGACGACAGAAAGCUUCGAGGGAACCCGCCAGUACUAUCUGGCAAGGCUAAAUAUCUUUGGUGAUCGAUAGUGAACAAGUACCGUGAGGGAAAGGUGAAAAGCAGGCCGGUGAGGCCGAUGAAAUAGAACCUGAAACCAUACGCCUACAAGGACCUAGAGCCCGCAAGGGUGAUAGGGUGCCUAUUGAAGAAUGAGCCAACGACUUUAGGUGCGCGGCUUGGUUAAUCCGCGAUGAGCGGGGGAGCCAUAGGGAAACCGAGUGUGAAUAGCGCGUGGCCCGCAAGGGCCGUGUCGUGCGCCUAAGACCCGAAACCAGAGCGAGCUUGCCCUGGGCAGGUUGAAGGUCGCAGAAAUGCGACUGGAGGACCGAACCGGUGGGUUGUUCAACACCCUCGGAUGACCUGGGGUAAGAAGUGAAAAGCUAAUCGAGCCUGGUAAUAGCUGGUUCUCUCCGAAAUAGCUUUCGGGCUAGCGUCAUGCAUAAACACGCCGGGGGUAGAGCACUGGAUGGUCUGUAAAGGGCGAAAGCUCAGCAGACCAAUCAAACUCCGAAUACCGGCGUAACCGGCAUGGCAGUCAGACCAUGGGGGCUAAGCUCCGUGGUCAAAAGGGAAACAGCCCAGACCGUCGUCUAAGGUCCCUAAAUACGUGCUAAGUGUUAAAGGCAGUUUCACGCCAGUGACAGAUAGGAGGUUGGCUUAGAGGUAGCCAUCCUUUAAAGAGUGUGUAACAACUCACUAUUCGACGGCGUGAUGCGCCGAAAAUGUACCGGGGCUAAGCACGUUACCGAAAACACGGAUUUUGUCGGUCUUCGGACUGACAGAGUGGUAGGAGAGCAUUUCGAGCGCAGCGAAGGUUGACCCGCGAGGGCGACUGGAGCGCUCGGAAGAGAGAAUGUUGGCAUGAGUAACCACAAUCCCAAUGAGAAAUUGAGACCCCGCAAAUCCAAGGUUUCCGUGGCACUGUCAAUCAACCACGGGUUAGGCGGUCCUAAGGCAAUGGUGAGAACCGCAGCUGAUGGACAGCAGGUUAAUAUUCCUGCCCUUCGGGCGCGUUGCGAGGGAGUGACGAGGGACAUAAGUCCGAGUGCCUUAUUGGUUUGGCAUUCAUGGCGAGAGAUUUCCGAUCGCCGUGCGAAUGCGCCGUAUUUGCGGCGCAAACUCGGGUGAAGAGCCCUCCAAGAAAAGCUCCCAAGCGUUAACGCGCACGGAUCCGUACCGUAAACCGACACUGGUGGAUGAGGCGAGUAGCCUCAGGGGAACGAGUGAUUCUUCCUUAAGGAACUCGGCAAACAAGCGGCCGUAAGUUAGCGAUAAGGCCUGCCCUUCGCAAGAAGGGCCGCAGCGAAAGUAUCUCUGGCGACUGUUUACCAAAAACACAGCUCCCUGCGAACUCGCAAGAGGAUGUAUAGGGGGUGACGCCUGACCGAUGCGAGAAGGUCAAGACUGGGGGUGUUAUGCAGCAAUGUGUACUGCCUACUGGUUUAAGCCCUCGUCAAUGUCAGCCGUAACUAUAACGGUUCUAAGGUAGCGCAUUUCCUUUCCGGGUAAGUUCCGGAGCGCACGAAAGGCGUAACGACUGGAGAACUGUCUCAAGGAAGAGCUCGGUGAAAUUGCGAUUCCCGUGAAGACGCGGGAUACCUGCAGCGGGACGAAAAGACCCCGGGAGCUUUACUGUAGCUUGGUAUUGGUUUUAGAACUGCAAUGCGUAGCGUAGUGGGUAGAGGUUGAAGGGCCGGUUUCGGCUGGCCUGGACUCGUCAAUGAAACACCCAUCUUUGCGGUUUUAACGUCUAACCCCAACGGCAAAAACGUUGAGGGACAGUGCCUGGUGGGCAGUUUAAAUGGGGCGUUUUCCUCCUAAAGAGUAACGGAGGAGUUUAUCAAGGUCGGCUUAGCCCGGAUGGAAAUCGGGCUGGACGUGUAAAGGCACAAGCCGGCUUAACUGCGAGACCUACAAGUCGAGCAGAUGCGAAAGCAGAACUUAGUGACCCGACGGUUCUUCAUAGGAAGGCCGGAGACAACGGACAAAAGUUACCCCGGGGAUAACAGGCUGGUCUUGCCCGAGAGUUCCUAUCGACGGCAAGGCUCGGCACCUCGAUGUCGGCUCGCCCUAGCGCGGGGCUGGAGAAGGUCCCAAGCGUUUGGCUGUUCGCCAAUUAAAAGGGCACGCGAGCUGGGUUCAGACCGUCGUGAGACAGGUUGGUCUCUAUCUGUUGCAGGCGUUGAUACUUGCGGGGAGUUGGCCCUAGUACGAGAGGACUGGGCUGAACGUACCUCUGGUCUACCGGCUUUGCCACCAGGCGAACCGCCGGGUAGCUAUGUAUGGACGGGAUAAGCGCUGAAAGCAUCUAAGCACGAAGCCCACCCCAAGAUUAGGUAUCGUCCGAAAGGACAAGAUCUCCUCGAAGACUACGAGGCUGAUAGGCUCUAGGUGUGCGCACCGUAAGGUGUUUAGCCAAGGAGUACUAAUGAUCUCCCGACCAUUCCAA